GAGUUUGAUCCUGGCUCAGAACGAACGCUGGCGGCAGGCCUAACACAUGCAAGUCGAGCGCACCUUCGGGUGAGCGGCGGACGGGUUAGUAACGCGUGGGAACAUACCCUUUUCUACGGAAUAGCCUCGGGAAACUGAGAGUAAUACCGUAUAAGCCCUUCGGGGGAAAGAUUUAUCGGGAAAGGAUUGGCCCGCGUUAGAUUAGAUAGUUGGUGGGGUAAUGGCCUACCAAGUCUACGAUCUAUAGCUGGUUUUAGAGGAUGAUCAGCAACACUGGGACUGAGACACGGCCCAGACUCCUACGGGAGGCAGCAGUGGGGAAUCUUAGACAAUGGGCGCAAGCCUGAUCUAGCCAUGCCGCGUGUGUGAUGAAGGUCUUAGGAUCGUAAAGCACUUUCGCCAGGGAUGAUAAUGACAGUACCUGGUAAAGAAACCCCGGCUAACUCCGUGCCAGCAGCCGCGGUAAUACGGAGGGGGUUAGCGUUGUUCGGAAUUACUGGGCGUAAAGCGUACGUAGGCGGAUUGGAAAGUUGGGGGUGAAAUCCCAGGGCUCAACCCUGGAACUGCCUCCAAAACUAUCAGUCUAGAGUUCGAGAGAGGUGAGUGGAAUUCCAAGUGUAGAGGUGAAAUUCGUAGAUAUUUGGAGGAACACCAGUGGCGAAGGCGGCUCACUGGCUCGAUACUGACGCUGAGGUACGAAAGUGUGGGGAGCAAACAGGAUUAGAUACCCUGGUAG
rnacentral:rRNA from 1 species